GCCUAGGGAUUUCACUCCUACUGUUUCUUCGUUUUCCAUCAUCGAUUGAAAUUGAAUGCGAUCUUUUGGCAUUCGCCCACAUCUACCCUAUAACCUGAUUUCCGAUUUUGAAGGAACCCGAACCGAUUUGCAGUGGAAGAUGAACUUGCAACAUGGAGAGAUUCGGAGGCGGUGGUGGUGAUACUCUACAACUUGAUUCGAAUUCAUCAGGGAAGAGGAAGACAGUGUGAAGGUUGGCAUAAGUGAUACCAGCCAUGAUAGAUUUAAAUUAACGGCUAAACAAAUUGUAGGCGUGGAGCUUAGUAGAAUACGAAAGGGUCAUCAUGCUUGAAUGAAAAUCUUUUUCGUAUUUAUAUAUGGAGAUGUCUUUAAUGUCUGCACUCUGAAAUUAAAGAUGGAACGAGGAACCUUGGAAGGAAGUUGAAGAGUCAAUGACUUUUGCCAAGAGACACUGUAUUUUUCCCGCCUUCCCACUCAAAUCGUAAGAGCGUACUCGACACGUUGUUUAAAAUCCAUCAGAGCUCUAAUAAAUCAUUCCAGUUUGCGCUUUACCAAUCAAUGGAAUAUGUUUUACAGUGGCGAUUGGUACAAUUUGAUUUCUAAAAUGGAUCAACAUGCUUUGCGAUUGAAUUCACAAUUUAAGUGGCGAUUGGUAUGUAAGUGUAUUGUGAUUCGGUACAUCACGUACCCACACGUAAACCAACAGGACCCAAAACCUAUCAAGGAGAUCAAGAAGUUUGCACAAAAAGCCAUGGGAACCACAACCACUAACGUAAGAAUGGAAGUCAGAUUAAACAAAUACGUUUACAGCCGCGGAAUCAGAAAUGUAUCAAACACAUCGAGCUUCGUAUAGUUGAAGGGUUGACUAUAGUUCAGUCUCCACGUUUUUUAUAGGUCAACAUAGCAGCCGCCUCUAGAGCUUCAGCACAAAAUUUAUAUAAGUUUUAAGGC